GCACAACGCGAAGAACCUUACCUACUCUUGACAUCCACGGAACUUAGCAGAGAUGCUUUGGUGCCUUCGGGAACCGUGAGACAGGUGCUGCAUGGCUAUCGUCAGCUCGUGUUGUGAAAUGUUGGGUUAAGUCCCGCAACGAGCGCAACCCUUAUCCUUUGUUGCCAGCGGUUAGGCCGGGAACUCAAAGGAGACUGCCAGUGAUAAACUGGAGGAAGGUGGGGAUGACGUCAAGUCAUCAUGGCCCUUACGAGUAGGGCUACAUACGUGCUACAAUGGCGCAUACAAAGAGAAGCGACCUCGCGAGAGCAAGCGGACCUCAUAAAGUGCGUCGUAGUCCGGAUUGGAGUCUGCAACUCGACUCCAUGAAGUCGGAAUCGUUAGUAAUCGUAGAUCAGAAUGCUACGGUGAAUACGUUCCCGGGUCUUGUACACACCG
rnacentral:rRNA from 1 species